rnacentral:lncRNA from 1 species
AAGAAAUUAUACAAAAAUACAAUUAAAAGUUGGCAGUGGAUCAAAACUAUUACAAAAAAGAAUCACUACGUUAUCCAUCUGUACAAACUAUACACAAAUACAACUACAAGUUGGUUGUGAAUGGCAACUAUUACAAAACAGAAACUACAACAGCUUCCUGUCAUGUCUUUAUAUUUCCACGGUGGUAUAUCAGUUAUUUUGGCCGGACUCUCUGCUCUACAGCAUAGCUGCUACCAGAUUCUAUCUCGAUCAGGAAAUUCCAGUAGAGAUGAAAAAGCAUAUUCCAACUAAAUCUGAAUCGGGAGAUACCAAGGCAGAUGCUUGGGAAAAAGUUGAGAUGGCUAGAAUUAAAUAAAGGUACACUGUUAUUUCCAACUUGUGCGAGGGAUUUAAUGAAUACCCCGUGUGUGAUCUUGUCAGUGCAUAAACAUUUUGCUAAAAUUCUUAUCAAAUUUCUGCAUAUAAUGGAACGAAUUUCAGGUAUGAGAAGCCGAUUGCUACAAUACAAAAUUGGGAGACUAAGAAAAGGAAGGUGGCAAAAUGCAAACUAGAAAGCAUAGAUGUUUACUUGCAUUGCAUAUUCUUUAAACUAAACAUUAUUAAUUAUGUGAUACCGAGAUGACAAUCGAGCAAAUUAAUUUGCAGGUCAAAUUGGACAAGAAAAGAGAAAAG